AAGAGCGGGAGUCUCAGAUUAGCAACCUGCAGACAUCUCGCCACACUCUGGAGAACCAGCUGCAGCAGGCCAAGACUGAGCUGGAGGAGACAACUGCAGAGGCUGAGGAGGAGAUCACUGUACUCAGAGCACAUAGAGAUGAGAUUCAACGCAAGUAUGAUGCCCUGAGAGACAGCUGCGCAGUGAUCACAGACCUGGAGGAGCAGCUGACCUCACUGACCCAGG